GGUGUGUGAGUUGCCGGCGAACGGACGGCGAUCUGAAAGGCGGCGGCUCGUGGCAGAUCGACGAAGACUGGAUUCUGGCGAGCGGACGUCGCAGGAGGUAGCGGCACUGAGGACUUGCGGCAGCGGACGGAGGCCGGCGGCGGACGAGAGAGAUGAGAAAUAGAGAGGGUAGAGUUGGGCGGUGCGGUAGUUCAGAGGUUGGGGUAUGGUUUGAAAAUUGGCAGAUUAGAA
rnacentral:lncRNA from 1 species